rnacentral:lncRNA from 1 species
UGCUGAAGUUUCUGGGAAGAGAAAUCCGGCUCCACGUGUGGAGCAUCCCUUUGCAGAGCGUUGGUGUUGUACUGCUCUGUCGCACUCUCACGGCAGUUCCCGUCGUGUUCUGGAAGAAUGAAAGUGUAGGCACAUUGCCCAUGUUGAAUCCGGUUAUAUCUUCUCCCUCCGUUUUCUGGAUUUCGGCGCUGGUUGCUGCACCCUAUGUGAGUCAGAAUGGCAGCGAAGAAUGCAAAGGAAAGGAAAACUGUCAUUGUACUGCCAGCGCUUGCCUUCCGUGCCUCCUGCAAAGCUUGCUCUUCUCUUCUGACCUUUAAACUAGUUCUUUAUUUCAGGUCAGUUCUGAAAACACAGGGCAUACAUACUGGAACAGUAAUGAAGUUAAGGCUACCAGAGUUCUUUAUGAGCCUUGUGACGACUGAGAUCAUAUGAUGGACAGCUGAAGAGAACAGGAGGAUUAGAGGCAGCUCUGAAAACAGCACCUUUGGAACCAAUGUGUCUCUGCAACGAGAAACCUUUGCUCAAGCACGUGCUACAAUGUUCAGUGUCUGUAGAAGUCAAGAGACAGGAUCUCCUUGGGACUCUGCUUCUGGUCAUUCGCUCACUUAGGAACUUGAUCUCUGGGACAGCAUAUACAAAGGCUUAUGAUUCACUUAGAAAACAUACAACUCUGUAUGUGCAUGUAUGGGACACAGAAUGUGCUGAAUUAUAGAUACAAACACAUAUAUAAUUACAUGUAUUAUUUAAAUUUAGUGUGUUAUGUAUUAUAUAUUUAUAUUAAAUAGAGAGAAUAUAAUAUAUAUUUCUAAAUAUAUUUAAUUAUAUAUACAUAAUUAUGUAUACGUACAUAUAUAUGUUUUCAUAUUCUCGGUUCUCAUAAGUGAACAUUAAGAAAACAAUCACUCCUAACCUCAGCUUUCUCAUUCACAAAAUAAGGUUCUUAAAUAGAAAUGGAUCCCAAUGCAUUCCACUUUGUAGGCAGUAUGAUUCUUUUUUACCCCUCAGCUAAUAAUUACCUUUUAAUUAUCUGAAGAAUGUAAAACCAAUUUUUAUUUAAAAAUUAGUGUGAGUAUAUACAUGGAAAAAGUGUACUGUGAAUGAGUGUUUGAGUUGAGGUUUAGAAGACUAUUUUUCAGCUGGGGAACAAAGUACGAAUAAACACAAACAAAAUUUUAUUUCAAGGGAACUGACCAGGUGGGAUGAUUAUACAAAAUAGAUGCAAAUUAACAAUGAAGGUUUUACAAUCAGAACUAUAUGACUUUAAAUCCUAGGCUCAUGACAGUGCUAGGGGAUAGAUUAUUAUGAAAUCUUUCGGGUCAGUCUUUAUUGUCAAAGGACAGCACAUACUUGUUGCUCUAUUGAAAAGAUCAACGCCACAUCAUCUAGCAUGGGAACUGCUUCAUUGAACACCUUCAAAUAUUACCUGUGUGCCGAUCCUCUCUACAAGUGUUUCUGCUGAGGAUAAGAACUUGUGGGUUCACCAAAAGCAACCAUGACUUACAGGAAUACUUUUUGGAAAUAUGUACUUCACAAUUAUUAUCAGCUUGUACUUUAGGGUCUCACAUUUAUAUACAAAUUCCAGGUCUGUCAUGUAUUAUUUACUUAUUUACAUUCUGAGAAAGGCAGUCUUUCUUCUCCUAACUAGAUGGUAUGAGGUUUAUGAAAGAAAGUGUAGCACAGCCUCUAGUACGUAGCAACCGAAUACAUGAUAGUCGCUUUAGCACACUUAUAUUCUUCAAGCUUGGAGUAGUUAAUGGAAUGAAAAGGCAUGUCAAUCAAUAUUUCUGGAGAAACGAAUGAGAAGACGAAUAUUCCUUGGUUGUUGAACUACACGCAGACUCUCAAUGUCUUCUUGGAGUGAGGCAGGUCCUAGGAUCUCACAGCUUCCUAUAGAAGGCAUGUCAUUUUCAAAGACGUCUUACUUGACAUGUAAACAAUGCCCAGUAAACCUCUUGUGUUCUUUUUAUGGAAGCAGCUAGCAGCUAGGGGUUGUACAUGUUUUUGUUUUUUUUCCACUCAGUUAUAAAACUGUUUCAUGAUACUUUUCUUAGGUGUUCAGUCAAAUGGGGGUGCUCAAAAAGGAGAAAAUGGGACUGAAAGCUUUAGGAAAUCUAAAAUGAAGUUGAGUUAGCUCCAUUGAGUAUUCCUGAAGUAGUUAUACAAAAAAGACCUAAAAAAAGUGUUCACUUCAUACAUAAGCAUGUUUUUAAAUGUGUGAAAGACAUUAAAUGAAUAAAAAUGAACAAGCCACCAUUAAAAAUUUAUACUUCAUUGGAUAAUCUAUAGGAUCCAAAGUUAACAAAAAUUUUAUUACUAAAAAUCUUUAAAUGCAAUUAAAUCAUUUUAGACCAACUUUUAAUCAUCAAUUAUGUGUGGGCUCCCUCUGCUGGAUCUUCACACUCUGAAUACUGGGAGAGGUUUAGUACCAUAUAGUUAGUUACCUAACCAAAAACUUUACUCAUAUUGUUGCAAUAAACAUAAAAUGACCAUGCCCAAUUUCAAACCCACAGUUCAAUAUUUUGUCAGAUGAUGAAGUUAAAAUCAGUUGUAGCUGUAAUUUUCAUCAUCAUUGAGAAACAGGGCUUUUAUUUGGGUUUGGGUCAGAGUGUAAGUGUUUUGAGUGCUUUAGUUUAUCUUUUGAAAGGGUGUAGAUGCUCUUUGUAGAGGGUCACAUGUGGUCCAUGGUGCUGGUUGCCAGGGUAACCAUGUCCUCUGUCUGUACAUGUCAAGGCCAAUUGCUUCUUUGGAGACAACUGGAUUAUCAGUUGGAAGGAAACAGAAAGAAUGCAAAUUACGAUGUUGCCAUUGCUUCAGAAAGGUAUGGUUAUAUGAAGCCGACUCAGAGGCAUCUUCAUAUCCAUAGCAAGUUUCUUUAAUGUUAACAACAUUGUCAUUGUUUUUCACUCACCAGUCCACCCUGGUGAAUGCUUAGCCACCUCCUUCUUUUGAAGCAGAGGGUUCUUUAUUUGCUGAGCUUGAAAAAGGAUGUGAGAACAAGAAUGUUCAUUAAUAUAGUUAGAACUUUUCUCUACCUUCAGCCAUAAGCUAUUAACCCAAAACACUGUUAAUGUGUUAUCUUUCCAAUAUACAAAGCAUAUCUAAUAAAGUUUUCUCUUCAAGAAUAUGGCACAGUGAUCCUGAAUUCAGGCACUACGCUCUAACAAUUGUUGGAAGAGAGUUGUAAUUAAGAUAAGUUUCACUUUAAGACUAGCAAAGUCUUGGUUAGCUUUGUCUUUAGGAAGAACAUAAUUAAAAUGUUUUAUUGUAGACCAGAA